rnacentral:rRNA from 1 species
AACGAACGCUGGCGGCAGGCUUAACACAUGCAAGUCGAACGCAUGCCUUCGGGCAUGAGUGGCAGACGGGUGAGUAACGCGUGGGAACCUACCCCUUGAUACGGGAUAGCUCCGGGAAACUGGAGAUAAUACCGUAUGUGUCCUGAGGGACAAAGAUUCAUCGCCAAGGGAUGGGCCCGCGUCGGAUUAGCUAGUUGGUGGGGUAACGGCCUACCAAGGCGACGAUCCGUAGCUGGUCUAAGAGGAUGAUCAGCCACAUUGGGACUGAGACACGGCCCAAACUCCUACGGGAAGCAGCAGUGGGGAAUAUUGGACAAUGGGCGCAAGCCUGAUCCAGCCAUGCCGCGUGAGUGAUGAAGGCCCUAGGGUUGUAAAGCUCUUUCACCGGUGACGAUAAUGACGGUAACCGGAGAAGAAGCCCCGGCUAACUUCGUG